rnacentral:lncRNA from 1 species
UCAAGAUAGAAGGGUAAAUUUCGUAAAAUAAAUUAUCAAGCAUGAUUCCAUGAUAACAUCCUUUUAAUAUCUUGAUAUUCAUUAUCAAGUAUGAUUUCAAAAAGUAUGUUCAAGAGAUAUCAUUAAGACCAAAUGCAUGAUACACUCAUUUAUUUUCAAAAUAUUCAUCAUGUUUAUUUUCAUGAGAUUCACAAGAUUGGUAAAAUAAAUUCAUUAAUCUCAAUAGGAUAUAAAAUUCAUUUCCAUUUCAU